GCCUAACACAUGCAAGUCGAACGGUAACAGGAAGCAGCUUGCUGCUUUGCUGACGAGUGGCGGACGGGUGAGUAAUGUCUGGGAAACUGCCUGAUGGAGGGGGAUAACUACUGGAAACGGUAGCUAAUACCGCAUAACGUCGCAAGACCAAAGAGGGGGACCUUCGGGCCUCUUGCCAUCGGAUGUGCCCAGAUGGGAUUAGCUUGUUGGUGGGGUAACGGCUCACCAAGGCGACGAUCCCUAGCUGGUCUGAGAGGAUGACCAGCCACACUGGAACUGAGACACGGUCCAGACUCCUACGGGAGGCAGCAGUGGGGAAUAUUGCACAAUGGGCGCAAGCCUGAUGCAGCCAUGCCGCGUGUAUGAAGAAGGCCUUCGGGUUGUAAAGUACUUUCAGCGGGGAGGAAGGGAGUAAAGUUAAUACCUUUGCUCAUUGACGUUACCCGCAGAAGAAGCACCGGCUAACUCCGUGCCAGCAGCCGCGGUAAUACGGAGGGUGCAAGCGUUAAUCGGAAUUACUGGGCGUAAAGCGCACGCAGGCGGUUUGUUAAGUCAGAUGUGAAAUCCCCGGGCUCAACCUGGGAACUGCAUCUGAUACUGGCAAGCUUGAGUCUCGUAGAGGGGGGUAGAAUUCCAGGUGUAGCGGUGAAAUGCGUAGAGAUCUGGAGGAAUACCGGUGGCGAAGGCGGCCCCCUGGACGAAGACUGACGCUCAGGUGCGAAAGCGUGGGGAGCAAACAGGAUUAGAUACCCUGGUAGUCCACGCCGUAAACGAUGUCGACUUGGAGGUUGUGCCCUUGAGGCGUGGCUUCCGGAGCUAACGCGUUAAGUCGACCGCCUGGGGAGUACGGCCGCAAGGUUAAAACUCAAAUGAAUUGACGGGGGCCCGCACAAGCGGUGGAGCAUGUGGUUUAAUUCGAUGCAACGCGAAGAACCUUACCUGGUCUUGACAUCCACAGAACUUUCCAGAGAUGGAUUGGUGCCUUCGGGAACUGUGAGACAGGUGCUGCAUGGCUGUCGUCAGCUCGUGUUGUGAAAUGUUGGGUUAAGUCCCGCAACGAGCGCAACCCUUAUCCUUUGUUGCCAGCGGUCCGGCCGGGAACUCAAAGGAGACUGCCAGUGAUAAACUGGAGGAAGGUGGGGAUGACGUCAAGUCAUCAUGGCCCUUACGACCAGGGCUACACACGUGCUACAAUGGCGCAUACAAAGAGAAGCGACCUCGCGAGAGCAAGCGGACCUCAUAAAGUGCGUCGUAGUCCGGAUUGGAGUCUGCAACUCGACUCCAUGAAGUCGGAAUCGCUAGUAAUCGUGGAUCAGAAUGCCACGGUGAAUACGUUCCCGGGCCUUGUACACACCGCCCGUCACACCAUGGGAGUGGGUUGCAAAAGAAGUAGGUAGCUUAACCUUCGGGAGGGCGCUUACCACUUUGUGAUUCAUGACUGGGGUGAAGUCGUAACAAGGUAACCGUAGGGGAACCUGCGGUUGGAUCACCUCCUUACCUUAAAGA
rnacentral:rRNA from 1 species